UGGGAUGAAGGUGAAGCGGUGCGUACCGAUGAUAUCAACGGUCAUCCUGCCAGUUCCGGUUUUCCGGCCGGACAUCCGCCAAUGAAGCAUUUCCUGGGUACUCCGAUCAGGUUUGGUGAUCGGGUGAUCGGGGCGCUUUAUCUCAC
rnacentral:tRNA from 1 species